AGUGAACGCUGGCGGUAGGCCUAACACAUGCAAGUCGAACGGCAGCACAGGAGAGCUUGCUCUCUGGGUGGCGAGUGGCGGACGGGUGAGGAAUACAUCGGAAUCUACCUUUUCGUGGGGGAUAACGUAGGGAAACUUACGCUAAUACCGCAUACGACCUUCGGGUGAAAGCAGGGGACCUUCGGGCCUUGCGCGGAUAGAUGAGCCGAUGUCGGAUUAGCUAGUUGGCGGGGUAAAGGCCCACCAAGGCGACGAUCCGUAGCUGGUCUGAGAGGAUGAUCAGCCACACUGGAACUGGGACACGGUCCAGACUCCUACGGGAGGCAGCAGUGGGGAAUAUUGGACAAUGGGCGCAAGCCUGAUCCAGCCAUACCGCGUGGGUGAAGAAGGCCUUCGGGUUGUAAAGCCCUUUUGUUGGGAAAGAAAAGCAGCCAGUUAAUACCUGGUUGUUCUGACGGUACCCAAAGAAUAAGCACCGGCUAACUUCGUGCCAGCCGCCGCCGUAA
rnacentral:rRNA from 1 species